rnacentral:rRNA from 1 species
UACAGAGGGUGCGAGCGUUGUCCGGAAUUACUGGGCGUACAGGGAGCGUAGGCGGUUGGAUAAGCCCUCCGUGAAAUCUCCAGGCUUAACCUGGAAAGUGCAGAGGGGACUGUUCAGCUAGAGGAUGGGAGAGGAGCGCGGAAUUCCCGGUGUAGCGGUGAAAUGCGUAGAGAUCGGGAGGAAGGCCGGUGGCGAAGGCGGCGCUCUGGAACAUUUCUGACGCUGAGGCUCGAAAGCGUGGGGAGCAAACAGG